CCUGCCAGUAGUCAUAUGCUUGUCUAAAAGAUUAAGCCAUGCAAGUCUAAGUAUAAGCAAUUUAUACUGUGAAACUGCAGAUAGCUCAUUAUAUCAGUUAUAGUUUAUUUGAUGGUACCUUACUACACGGAUAACUGUAGUAAUUCUAGAGCUAAUACGUGCCAAGAAACUCUAACCCUUUUGGGAAGGAGCGGACUUAUUAGUUUGAAACCAACCCAGCUUGCUGGUUUUUGGUGAUUCAUAAUAAUUUCUGGAUCGCAUACCCUUGUGGUGGCGAUGGGUCAUUCAAAUUUCUGCCCUAUCAGCUGUGAUGUUAGUGUAGUGGACUAACAUGGCUUAUACGGGUGACGGGGGAUUAGGGUCUGAUUCCGGAGAGGGAGCCUGAGAAACGGCUACCACUUCCAAGGAAGGCAGCAGGCGCGUAAAUUACCCAAUCUCAAAACGAGGAGGUAGUGACAAGAAAUAACAAUACUGGUCUAAUCAUUAGAUCCGGUAAUUGGAAUGAGUACAACGUAAAAUCCUUAACGAGGAACAAUUGGAGGGCAAGUCUGGUGCCAGCAGCCGCGGUAAUACCAGCUCCAAUAGCGUAUAUUAAAAUUGUUGCAGUUAAAAGGCUCGUAGUCGAAUGUAUGACACUAUUGAUCCUGGCCCGCUUCCUAGUGGAGCGAGAGCUGGUGUAUCAUGGGUCAUCUUUGUGGAGAGCGUCUCUACCCUUGAUUGGGUUGGUUUCGCGAUUCACAUCAUUUACUGUGAACAAAUCAGAGUGUUCAAAGCAGGCAUUUGCGGCUUGUAUGGUUCAGCAUGGAAUAAUAAGAUAAGGCUUUGGUCUUAUUUUGUUGGCUUAAGGACCAAAGUAAUGAUGGAAAGGGAUAGUUGGGGGUGCUAGUAUUCAAUGGUCAGCGGUGAAAUGCGUGGACCCAUUGAAGACUAACUAAUGCGAAAGCAUUCACCAAGGAUAUCUUCUUUGAUCAAGAACGAAAGUUGGGGGAUCGAAGACGAUCAGAUACCGUCG
rnacentral:rRNA from 1 species